UCGUCAGAUUGAACGCUGGCGGCAGGCUUAACACAUGCAAGUCGAACGAUGAUUAUCUAGCUUGCUAGAUAUGAUUAGUGGCGGACGGGUGAGUAACAUUUAGGAAUCUGCCUAGUAGUGGGGGAUAGCUCGGGGAAACUCGAAUUAAUACCGCAUACGACCUACGGGUGAAAGGGGGCGCAAGCUCUUGCUAUUAGAUGAGCCUAAAUCAGAUUAGCUAGUUGGUGGGGUAAAGGCCCACCAAGGCGACGAUCUGUAACUGGUCUGAGAGGAUGAUCAGUCACACCGGAACUGAGACACGGUCCGGACUCCUACGGGAGGCAGCAGUGGGGAAUAUUGGACAAUGGGGGCAACCCUGAUCCAGCCAUGCCGCGUGUGUGAAGAAGGCCUUUUGGUUGUAAAGCACUUUAAGCAGGGAGGAGAGGCUAAUGGUUAAUACCCAUUAGAUUAGACGUUACCUGCAGAAUAAGCACCGGCUAACUCUGUGCCAGCAGCCGCGGUAAUACAGAGGGUGCGAGCGUUAAUCGGAAUUACUGGGCGUAAAGCGAGUGUAGGUGGCUCAUUAAGUCACAUGUGAAAUCCCCGGGCUUAACCUGGGAACUGCAUGUGAUACUGGUGGUGCUAGAAUAUGUGAGAGGGAAGUAGAAUUCCAGGUGUAGCGGUGAAAUGCGUAGAGAUCUGGAGGAAUACCGAUGGCGAAGGCAGCUUCCUGGCAUAAUAUUGACACUGAGAUUCGAAAGCGUGGGUAGCAAACAGGAUUAGAUACCCUGGUAGUCCACGCCGUAAACGAUGUCUACUAGCCGUUGGGGUCCUUGAGACUUUAGUGGCGCAGUUAACGCGAUAAGUAGACCGCCUGGGGAGUACGGCCGCAAGGUUAAAACUCAAAUGAAUUGACGGGGGCCCGCACAAGCGGUGGAGCAUGUGGUUUAAUUCGAUGCAACGCGAAGAACCUUACCUGGUCUUGACAUAGUGAGAAUCCUGCAGAGAUGCGGGAGUGCCUUCGGGAAUUCACAUACAGGUGCUGCAUGGCUGUCGUCAGCUCGUGUCGUGAGAUGUUGGGUUAAGUCCCGCAACGAGCGCAACCCUUUUCCUUAUUUGCCAGCGGGUUAAGCCGGGAACUUUAAGGAUACUGCCAGUGACAAACUGGAGGAAGGCGGGGACGACGUCAAGUCAUCAUGGCCCUUACGACCAGGGCUACACACGUGCUACAAUGGUAGGUACAGAGGGUUGCUACACAGCGAUGUGAUGCUAAUCUCAAAAAGCCUAUCGUAGUCCGGAUUGGAGUCUGCAACUCGACUCCAUGAAGUCGGAAUCGCUAGUAAUCGCAGAUCAGAAUGCUGCGGUGAAUACGUUCCCGGGCCUUGUACACACCGCCCGUCACACCAUGGGAGUCUAUUGCACCAGAAGUAGGUAGCCUAACGUAAGAGGGCGCUUACCACGGUGUGGUCGAUGACUGGGGUGAAGUCGUAACGGG
rnacentral:rRNA from 1 species